rnacentral:sRNA from 1 species
UGCAGCCGCUGCCAGCCACCUGUUCCGAGACUUGGGCCGCCGCAAGGCGGCCCUCUUUUUUUGGGCCA